rnacentral:lncRNA from 1 species
GUUUCUCUGAAUAGCAGAGGCAUCAAAUUUUGGUGGGGAAUGAGAGGAGUAUUAGGGGAAAGUUUGAAAAUAGCUCUCCUGGAGAUGGAGGGCACACAGAGUGGUCCUCAGGCUCACCUUGACUGAGUUGAUUCACAGUUAUCCUGCAUCAGACCAUUAGAUUUCUUUAGUGCUAUGAUUAUAAUAGGGAUUUUUGAAUCACCAAAAACAGUUUUUAGAUGUUUAUGUUCUUUGUUUUACUAUCAAUGUUGUGCUGGUUAAGGGAGAGAAAAGUUCAAGAAGAUCUUACAUAUUUGAAAGGAAAUUGGUACUCUUGAAGGCUAUGCAACAUGAGUCUUUGAACAAGAAUUCCUUGCUACUUUGAUUCAUUCAUCAAAUACUGAGUGCCUGUGUGCCAGGCACAGGUGAACUCUGGGGAUUCAGGGGUAACUAAAACAGAUUGGAACCCUGCCCUUGUGAAGCUUUCAGUCUAGAAGGGAGACGUGAAACAAAUUUUAGCUUCAAAAGCAACAUCUAUUUUUGCCUGUUAGCAUGCAUUUAUUUUAAAAGUCAUAUUAGAGUUACCUGGUUCCACUUCAGAGCAGACUGGGAAAAUCAGGCUUACAAUGGAAUCAGAUGCUGUGGGCCUAAAACAGCUCUUUAAAAAUCUAUUUUUUUAGGCCAGGUGCGUUGGCUCACACCUGUAAUCCCAGCACUUUGGGAGGCCAAGGUGGGUGGAUAUGAGGUCAGGAGGUCGAGACCAGCCUGGCCAAUAUGAUGAAACCUUACCUCUACUAAAAAUAAAAAAUUAGCCGGGCAUGGUGGCACAUGCCUGUAGUCCCAGCUACUCGGGAAACUGAGGCAGAAGAAUCGCUUGAACCCGGGAGGCGGAGGUUGCAGUGAGCCGGGAUCACGUCACUGUACUCCAGCCUGGGCAAGAGUGAGACACCGUCUCAAAAAAAAAAAAAAUUUUUUUUUAAAUGGAAUCAGAGAAACCAACAAAAUAUGUAACAUGUAUAAAUGCCUGAGGAGAUCAGUUAUUGAGAAAUCCAUUUACAAUGCUGGAGGAGAGGGGAUGGCCAGGAAAGAAGUGCAACAAAUAAAUGGAAGAUGACCCUAAAAAUGCACCAGUGACAGUCAGUCAAUCCAUCAGACCACCUCACAUGCAGGGUAGAAACAUGGAGUGUGCGGCAGCAUCCUCCUCACAUCCCUUUGUGAGCACGGCUGCUCCGGAAUACUGACCAUCUGGGCUAGCACGACUUAGCAGAGGGUUCUGCAGGAUGUGCUAUUUUAAAGCAGCUGGGUGCAACUUGUGAAAACGGGAAUCUAGAGCAGAACAUGUAAUCAGCGAUGGCUGGGAUUGGUGGACAGGAUUGACAGGAGUAUUUGAGGCUCUACCAGGCCUGUCUACAGGACAGCUUCAUCAAAGGGACAUUUUUUAACCUGUUAUUUUAAAUGCCACAUAUAUGUUGUAAUGCUGAAGCAUACAGGUAGAAUUUCUGGAUCGUAACUACUAGUGACUUCUGAGGUUUACAGUUAGAAAAUGUUCUCAAAGGUUUAUCAGUUAUGUAUUGAUGAUUGGUAAUCUAGACCCUCUGGAGGCUGUAGAAUGUGAAAAGAUACAGCUGAGCUGACAAGUUUUAGGGCACUAUCUUCUGGAAUGAAAUCGGCCAAGAAAAUGGUUCAAGGGCAUGGGGGUUAGAGAAUGUUUCUUUUACCUAAAAAUGUUAAGCCAACUAUGGAAGAUUGGGGUCGUGGGGGCAUGAAAUACAAAAUUAUGAUAAUUUAUACAGAACUAGGUUUCUUUAUGUUCUGCAAGAAGGUUUUUAUUAGCUAAUUUGGGGAGGGGGGCAUGCUGCAGUAUUUUUUUUCCUGGGAACAUGCAUUUCUGAUGGGAAGUUAUUUUGUUUACAAGAGUUGGUUUUACACACAACCCUGAAUGAAUGUGUCUAUGGCCUAAAAAUGGUAGACCUGUAUUUCCUUCCCGAGGCAGGCUGAUUCGUUUCCUGAUUCCUUCUGUCUGAGAUUACCUGAUGCUGACCAGACUUAUUUUUCCUUUCCUGAAUCUUCACAGCUGAGUUUAUGGCACCCAUCCAAGACCUUCCCAUUUGAAUGACUAGAUUUCUAUUCUAUCCCCGAUCAUCCUUUUGAAAUAGUUCUAGUGAUAAACUCAGAGAAAUUCAAUAUAUUGAUUGAAUUUUAUUUUUUCGCUUUGUAUCUACAACAGAAAUUGAUUUGUUCAUUUUUAUUUCAAAUCUCUUCAUGGCAAGUUGGGCUAAUGGACUUUGCACUCAAGAAAGGUUUGUUUACCAGUUUUGUAGCCAUGUUUGGCAAAUCUUAGCAACUAGAAACCCCGUCCUUUCUUUUCCUUCUUUAUAUGUUCUUGCAGUUACUCUUGUAUUGCAAGAUUUUCUGACUUUAAGCUUUGAGACUACUGCAUCUUAAAAGAAGAACUAGGCUGACUGGCAAAAAGUCUUGCCAGUGGCCCUGUCACUCCCAUGAUGCUUUGGUUUUGAGAGUUGGGAAAACUCUGAGAACUUAAGGGAACCAAACUCAGGAAUCCCAAAAUUGGUGGCAUUGUGCCAUUCGUUUAGGGGCUGAACAUAGGACCUGUCUGAAACUGAGUGAGCUAGAUGCAUUUGGGUUUGAAUUUUUGUCACAUACUGAAAUGUAAGUCAGCCCUAAAUAAUCAAAACACUUUAUUUUAUUUUUCUUUUUUUAAAUAGGAACUUUCUGAAGAAAAAGUGGUGUGUAAAACAUUUGAUAUUUAAGACAAUAAAGUUUUUAUCAU